UACAGAGGUCCCGAGCGUUGUUCGGAUUCACUGGGCGUAAAGGGUGCGUAGGUGGUGAGGUAAGUCGGAUGUGAAAUCUCCGGGCUCAACCCGGAAAUGGCAUUGGAAACUACCUUGCUAGAGGAUUUGAGGGGGGAUUGGAAUACUUGGUGUAGCAGUGAAAUGCGUAGAUAUCAAGUGGAACACCGGUGGCGAAGGCGGAUCUCUGGGCCUUACCUGACGCUGAGGCGCGAAAGCUAGGGGAGCGAACAGG
rnacentral:rRNA from 1 species